CUCACUCACUCCGAGCGCGUCGAUUUCUGACGAACGGUCAGUGACUUUUGCUUCAGUUUCUGACGCAAAAGGGUACCCUUGCGCUGCUUUUUUAGACGCAUGGGGUUUUCAACUAUUACAAUGUAACCCUUUGACGGGGGACCCGAUGGCUGCUGAAAACCCCAUGCGUCUAAAAAAGCAGCGCAAGGGUACCCUUUUGCGUCAGAAACUGAAGCAAAAGUCACUGACCGUUCGUCAGAAAUCGACGCGCUAUCAUUCGCGUCGAGAGCAGCGAUGGGCUGUAGUUCAAAAAGCGGCCUAAAAAAACCCUGACAUUAUCAAACUUCCUCACAUUUUUUUUGGUUUUCUUUGCAUGCACAUUUUUAAUUAAAAUCCACAAACAACAUAUGUGUAAUCCACGGCAUAUAAAGACGAAAAAAAUAAUUACUUUCUCUCCAUUGAAACCCAUUCAUAUUUUUCGAUCUCAGAGGUCCCAUGCGGGGUAUACCGGAAGGGGCGGACUUACGAGCUCAAUAACAAGCAGGAAGAAGCAGGAAAAAUCCGCCGGUUAUAUAUAUAUAUUUUUUAAAUGUGGAAUGAUAUUAUUGUUUUUAAUGGAAUAUGAAUUUGAACUUAUUAGAAGUUAGCGAUGAUUAUACUCGUGUCUCAAACAUGAUCACGAAACAUCAACAGUUCUGCUCGCUGUAAGCGAGUAAGUGAUAGGAUUGGAUUGACCUAUCACCGAUGGGAUGUUAAUCGCAGUGCACCUUGGGAAUCGUAGAUGAGCUUCAAAUCGGGACUCAGGAUCCACCAGACCCAGGUAAGUUGUACAAAAUAUUUAAAUAUGAUUAACUAAGAAUAUAGGCUUAACUAAAUUGAAAUCUCUCCAACGAGCAGUAGGCCUAUGUCUAUGAGAGAGAGAGAGAGUGAAAGACACUUCAAUAUAACUUAUUUUUUAAUAUAUAGGCUAUACAUAUUUUUUGCAUCGCGUGUACAUUUGAAAACUUCUUGCUAGGUUAGGUGGCUCACUAUCGUUCGUAAGAUGUAGCCUUACCACCAAGCACCGAAACUCGGUUCCAGUAGGGCACCGGUUCCGAUUAAACGGUAGUACCUAGAUCGAAUAAGAACGCACAUUUCGGUGCCUCAUAACGGUGCCUGAAUUUUUUUUAACGCCCCCGUGUAUAACGUGUAUUACGAAGCGUAAUACACACCUUAUAUCAGUGACAAACAAUAUAUUAAGUGUGUAUUACGCUUCUAUUAUACAGUCUAUGGUAUUAAGCAAUAACUUUAAAUGCAUUUUUUUCUCCCAUCUAACAAAUAGACAUUUAAUACGAAUCUUAAUAAGUAUAUUUAAGCUUAUUUACAGAAGAUGCAUCUAUUUUUUUCAUUGUUCUGAAUGUUGUGUAUAACUCGCUUAGUGGUCUUUCUGUUGAUUUAUUGCCAUUUAGUAUUUAUUUAAUAAUGUUGCUCAUAAGUUGUUAGUACUCCCCAUAUAUUUGACAAUAAGCUGUCUUUUACAAGAAAUGCCUUAUUUCAACAAUCUGAUGUUCACCUGAAAGUAAUUAAGUGCCCAUAAUAUUGCUUAUCCACCUAAUGUUGUCUUCUUUAGUUCAAGAGAAAUGUACUAAGUUCUGGUUGUAAUUGUUAAUUUUACCAUGCACAACCCAAAUUGUCUUUUGUGUUUGAAUGUACUGUAUAACCAGUAUAAUUUCCCACAUAGUUAUGUGUUGACAAUGAAUUAAUAUCAUAUCUUUUUUCACUCCAAAUGCAAUAUCACUAAUAUGCAUGAAUUAAUUCACAUAUUAUAUGUGUGAAUUUGAUAAUGUUAUCAACUGAAAUCAAAUAUAUCUAAGAUUAACCCUCUAUGUUUCACUAUCAUUUGCAGAAUGACAAAGCCUAAGAAGAAGCGAUGCCCCUCAUGCCAGGCCGAAAAUUCUGUUGGAAGGAAGACAUGUUGCCAGUGUCUCCUCCCCCUUCCCCGGAAGAACAAGCUCCCAGAUAAUUUGCAGAUGGACAGCUGGGCAUCCUCUGCAAAGUCAUACAGAAACGGUGCCAGGGCUAUAAAUUCAGCCCAGCUAUCUGUCUUAAAACUAAAUGCCCUUGGUCGGAAACCCCUACUAUUUCUUGGAAAUCCUGGCCGCAAAGGAAAAUCUGUGGGGGACUUGAUUCACUUUAUCCCCACAGAUAACGUGUUGGUGAAGGAUAUCAUUUCCAAAAUGAGCAAAUGCUAUGAGCUCCUCCUGACAAUGUUGCAGGGCUGUGCUCCACAAGCAGCUGUGCCCCCCCUGGAAAACAGCGGUCCACCAGCCCCUCCUGUGUGCUCUCAGCCUCCUCCAGAACCCUUCUCAUCCCCUCAAACUCCUCCAUCCUUCUCCAACUCCCAACCACCUCCAUCCUUCUCAUCCCCUCAAACUCCUCCAUCCUUCUCCAACUCUGAACCUCCUCCAUCUUUCCACAACUUAGAACCUCCUCCAUCCUUCUCCAACUCCCAACCUCCUUCCUUCUCAUCCCCUCAAACUCCUCCAUCCUUCUCCAACUCCCAACCUCCUUCCUUCUCAUCCCCUCAAACUCCUCCAUCCUUCUCCAACUCCCAACCUCCUUCCUUCUCCAACUCCCAACCUCCUCCAUCCUUCUCAGACCCUCAAACUCCUCCAUCCUUCUCUAACUCUGAACCUCCUCCAUCUUUCCACAACUUAGAACCUCCUCCAUCCUUCUCCAACUCCCAACCUCCUUCCUUCUCUAACUCUCAACCUUCUCCAUCCUUCUCCAACUCCCAACCUCCUUCCUUCUCUAACUCUCAACCUUCUCCAUCCUUCUCCCCUCAACCUCAUCCAUCCCUCUCCAACUUUGAACCUCCUCGAUCUCCAGCCUCCUCUUCCAAGAAGAGGCCCAAAAUAAAAGAAUGCAGAAAACACAAAAAUCAAAAGGUUUUCCUGUUUCAACGCAUUGUUGAUAAACGUGUUUUAAACGAAAUGCCUUUCUCUCACAACUACUUCUGUCAUAUUUUCUGAUGUCAUGCCUUUCAGGGAAAAGAAGAGGUGAAAGUCUCUUGGACACCAUGCCCCAAGUGUGGGAAGAAGUGGGACGAUUCAUGGGAGCCAGACAGCCAACAGUUUAGCUAAAUCUAUUUUAUUUAUUUAUGUAUAUUAUUUUAUUUGUUUGAUAUUCCUGUUUCUUUGGAAGUGUUUAUUACACACAAACACACACAUACAUACACAGACAUCUUUCAAAAGUGAUGCAUUUAUUAAAUAAAUUGUUGUUACUGCCUCGUGCGUUUGUCCAUUUUAUUGCAUUUAUAAUUAUAUAUAUAUUUUGAAAUACAAUGAUUGAAAAGUUUUUGCUAAGCUCUGACUGUUAAUUGUGUAACAAUAUGACAAAAGGUGAAUUAUUAUUUUAAAUCGUUUUGGUGUUUGUGUACAUAGAUUUGAGUGUCUGGAGUGCUCACAAACCCAGAAAUGUGAAACGAUUUACUGCCUCAGUGAGAAAUCAUGAGAUGCUCCUAGCUUCCUAUGACACACGGCAACACAAGUCUCACUCCCUACUCGUCAGAAGUGUGACGCAUGGCCAAGGAUCCCUGGCGUCAAGUUCCAACGAAAGAUGUGUACCUUUUGCGUUGUUUUUCAAUGUGGGGGUCCAAUUCGGUAUCACGCCAAAGCGUGAGUGGAGGAAUAGCACAAACGGGGCGAGUGGUUCUCCCAGCAUUUGGUGAAAUGGUUAGGUAGCCUAUAUUAGUAUUUAAUAUAAUAAAUAUUAAUACUUAUUAUCUGAAUGGGAAAUGCAAUAUUUUAGGACAGAUUCACCAUUCAACGUGUUUCUAAUAACAUUUCUAGCGAGAAAUGUACUUUAUACCUGCAUAAUCUUCAGUCACUGAAUGUGUCAGAUCUUUAGUUUGAUAGUCAUUAGGACGAUUUUAUGGUCUCGCUAGCAUGUUUAAACGACGUCAGGUUGCUAGGGACGCGACGAUCUAAUUGUGGGCCAGCCGAGGCUGACACAUAAACCAAAUUUGACCUAUAACCAAAUGUAUGAUAAUGCUGUAUGUAUAGCCUAAUUUUUUAUGUUAUAAAUAUUUUAAUAUUGUCUAGAAGCCCUUGGAUAAUCCACCUGAAUUUGGUUAUUCUUUGGUUAUUAUUUUCAAUGGUCAUAUACAGAUCUUGUUCUAAAGAUAAUUGAAUAAGAGCUAUGGUCUUCUUAUAAU